rnacentral:rRNA from 1 species
GACGAACGCUGGCGGCGUGCUUAACACAUGCAAGUCGAGCGCUGAAGCUCAGCUUUUGUUGGGUGGAUGAGUGGCGAACGGGUGAGUAACACGUGAGUAACCUGCCUCCUUCUUUGGGAUAACGCCCGGAAACGGGUGCUAAUACUGGAUAUUCACUGGUCUUCGCAUGGGGGUUGGUGGAAAGGGUUUUUCUGGUGGGGGUGGGCUCGCGGCCUAUCAGCUUGUUGGUGGGGUGAUGGCCUACCAAGGCUUUGACGGGUAGCCGGCCUGGGAGGGUGACCGGUCACAUUGGGACUGAGAUACGGCCCAGACUCCUACGGGAGGCAGCAGUGGGGAAUAUUGCACAAUGGGCGCAAGCCUGAUGCAGCGACGCCGCGUGAGGGAUGGAGGCCUUCGGGUUGUGAACCUCUUUCGCUCAUGGUCAAGCCGCAACAAUGGUUGUGGUGAGGGUAGUGGGUAAAGAAGCGCCGGCUAACUACGUG